UGGCUCGUUAUGGAAAUCACGGCUGUAGCGUGAGGACUUUGGCUACCUGUAAACGUGCCAAUAGUAUCUGGACACGGGACUAUUCCCCUGUGCUGAGUGAAAGACACGUGUAAAUGGUCAGAGUCGGAAGGAAUGUGGUGCCAGAUGGAAACAACAUAAACAGCUGGGAGACUUCAUCCGGGAUUUCAAGCGAGGAUGGGAGACUUACAUUCUCGCCGUCCACUAGUUCCAAAGGUGGUUUAGAUACACCUACUUCUCCGGGGAAGGAUUUUGCUUUGGAGCGUCGUGAUUUGACCUGUUGGGCAACUGUUUUCUGAGCAACUCUGGAGACAUGCCAGCCACUUGAGGUGAAUCAAGCAGUGGCAGGGACAGGACCUACCUGGGCUGAAGUUUUAAUCCCAGGCACGUGGCAUUUGCUCAAGCAAUCACUGAUCGUGGAAUCUGUUAUUUUUUCAGUCUAUUUUCUUCCACGAAACAAUUGCUGAGUUACCUCAGUGCACUGUAAAUACUGCAGCAGGGUGUGA